AUGUCACGAUGUGGUGCUACUGCUGAUCCCAAAACAGGAUGCCGGAAGUGGCGCUCACUAGAGACUAUGUGUCAGAACUGUGACGCUGAAUCCGGAGCCCCAACCUCUUCUAGCCUCCUGGAGGAGGAUGACCCAGGACCCUUGUCCUCCCAACAGCAGGCCACCAGUUCAAGGGACAAGAAGCCCCUAAGCUCCCUCCACCUUUCACAUAGGGCCCAGGUGGCCUUGGAGUACCUGCCUUUCUUCUGCACCUAUGGGUGCCUCCUGGAAGAGGAGGUGUUGGUCCUGCAGCCCGAGACACCGCUCCAGGAGGACUCAGAACUGCUCAGUGGGUUCUUCCCUUACUACCGCUCUGAGGAGGAGAGUUUGCCCAGCCUGGCCCUUCCUGGCUGGUCACACAGGGGCUCCCAAGAUCUGCCCACUGAGAAGGAGGCACGGGCUGGCUGCUUCUGCAGGACAACAGUCAGGGACGAACGCUCUGUCUCGGCAGGGUUCCCCCGUGACAGUGACCGGGAUGCCCCUCUCUCCAGGGACCAUGGUCUUUAUGCCUCAGGAUUUGUGCAUUACUACAGAACCCCUGAGGAGGGGUUACACACUAGCCCUGGGCCUCCUGCCUUUCCAUCUGGGAGCCAGGGGCCCUCAGGUGCUGCCCAGGGCUGGUGCAGUCACACCACGGGGAAGCCGGAGCUGACUGCAGCAGAAACCACUGGAGAGCAGGCCCCCAGCACCCACUGACUGUCGAGGGAUGAAG
rnacentral:lncRNA from 1 species